rnacentral:lncRNA from 1 species
ACACAAAACCCUAUACAUACUCAGACAAUGAAAACAUUCUUGAUUAUCACCCUCUAAACCUCUGAAACAAGAUGCAACAGAAUAAAUUAUGCACUGAGAUUGAGAAAUCAAGUCUUUCGACUUCUCAAUCAACAUAUGACUGAAUGAAUAUUAUCAAGAUCAGAACCUCUGAAACAAGAUGCAACAGAAUAAAUUAUGCACUGAGAUUGAGAAAUCAAGUCUUUCGACUUCUCAAUCAACAUAUGACUGAAUGAAUAUUAUCAAGAUCAGAUAAAAUGCCAGAACUCCUAACCUUUUUUAUAUAAACUCUGAUAAAUGCUUUUU